rnacentral:rRNA from 1 species
UAAGCCAGUCUAGUAUAGCACUAUACGGUGAAACUGCGAAUGGCUCAUUAAAUCAGUUAUCGUUUAUUUGAUAGUACCUUACUACAUGGAUAACCGUGGUAAUUCUAGAGCUAAUACAUGCUAAAAACCUCGACUUCGGAAGGGGUGUAUUUAUUAGAUAAAAAACCAAUGCCCUUCGGGGCUCCUUGGUGAAUCAUAAUAACUUAACGAAUCGCAUGGCCUUGCGCCGGCGAUGGUUCAUUCAAAUUUCUGCCCUAUCAACUUUCGAUGGUAGGAUAGUGGCCUACCAUGGUAUCAACGGGUAACGGGGAAUUAGGGUUCGACUCCGGAGAGGGAGCCUGAGAAACGGCUACCACAUCCAAGGAAGGCAGCAGGCGCGCAAAUUACCCAAUCCCGACACGGGGAGGUAGUGACAAUAAAUACUGAUACAGGGCUCUUUUGGGUCUUGUAAUUGGAAUGAGUACAAUUUAAAUCCCUUAACGAGGAACAAUUGGAGGGCAAGUCUGGUGCCAGCAGCCGCGGUAAUUCCAGCUCCAAUAGCGUAUAUUAAAGUUGUUGCAGUUAAAAAGCUCGUAGUUGAACCUUGGGCCUGGCUGGCCGGUCCGCCUCACCGCGUGUACUGGUCCGGCCGGGCCUUUCCUUCUGGGGAACCUCAUGCCCUUCACUGGGCGUGUUGGGGAACCAGGACUUUUACUUUGAAAAAAUUAGAGUGUUCAAAGCAGGCCUUUGCUCGAAUACAUUAGCAUGGAAUAAUAGAAUAGGACGUGUGGUUCUAUUUUGUUGGUUUCUAGGACCGCCGUAAUGAUUAAUAGGGAUAGUCGGGGGCAUCAGUAUUCAAUCGUCAGAGGUGAAAUUCUUGGAUUGAUUGAAGACUAACUACUGCGAAAGCAUUUGCCAAGGAUGUUUUCAUUAAUCAGUGAACGAAAGUUAGGGGAUCGAAGACGAUCAGAUACCGUCGUAGUCUUAACCAUAAACUAUGCCGACUAGGGAUCGGACGGUGUUAGUAUUUUGACCCGUUCGGCACCUUACGAGAAAUCAAAGUUUUUGG